rnacentral:rRNA from 1 species
AAACUAACAAGGAUUCCCCUAGUAACGGCGAGUGAACCGGGAAAAGCUCAAAUUUGAAAUCUGGCGUCCUCAGGGCGUCCGAGUUGUAAUCUAUAGAGGCGUUUUCCGUGCCGGACCGUGUCCAAGUCCCUUGGAACAGGGUAUCAAAGAGGGUGACAAUCCCGUACUUGACACGACUACCGGUGCUCUGUGAUACGUCUUCUACGAGUCGAGUUGUUUGGGAAUGCAGCUCAAAAUGGGUGGUGAGUUCCAUCUAAAGCUAAAUAUUGGCGAGAGACCGAUAGCGAACAAGUACCGUGAGGGAAAGAUGAAAAGCACUUUGGAAAGAGAGUUAAACAGUACGUGAAAUUGUUGAAAGGGAAACGAUUGAAGUCAGUCGUGACCGAGAGGCUCAGCCGGCUCUGCCGGUGUAUUCCCCUCGGUCGGGUCAACAUCAGUUUUGUCCGGUGGAUAAGGGCGGUAGGAAGGUGGCACCCACGGGUGUGUUAUAGCCUGCCGUCGCAUACACUGGGUGAGACUGAGGAAUGCAGCUCGCCUUUAUGGCCGGGGUUCGCCCACGUCCGAGCUUAGGAUGUUGACAUAAUGGCUUUAAACGAC